CUUUCCAGCGGCGGGGCUGCGCUGGUGGCGGAGGUGCCGGGGCACCCCGCAGGCUGCACGUCCUCAGCUCCCGGGCCAGGCUGAGCACCUCGGGCCGUUCGCGCUGCAGGGCUCCUUCCUCGCUAUCCCGGGUGUCCUCCUCCUCCGCAUCCUCCUCCUCAUCCUCCUCCUGGAUGCUGCUGAGCCGCGGAGCUCCGCGACCGCGCUCGCCCGGCGGAGGCCGGUAAGCGCACUUGGCGUUGAGCAGGCGGCGCAAUGGAGCCCGGGGUACCGAGGCGGCGGCGCCCCCCGCACGGAGAUGCUGCUGGCGCACGUGGCGCGCAUCGCUCUGGCGCUGCAGCCGCUUGAAGUCGCUGAAGGCCGCCAGCGCAGUCUGGUGGAGCAGGCGGGCCAGGGAGCGCGCCUUGUGCGCCCGCGCCAGCAACACAGCGUGGCAGCGCAGCACCACGGCCUUGUGGCGUGCCUGGUGGCGGUAGACCCAGGUGAAGACUCGCGGGUGGCGCCCAUCCGCCGCGCAGUAGGUGAUGCGCGGCAGCAGGGCAGCAUCGCGGCGGCCCAAAGGGCAGGGAGCGCGGGGAAGCUCACUUGGGUCCUGGAAAGGCCAAAGGCGCUCAGAAGCCCACCGCCCAGGACUUGCGACAAGCUGGGCGGCGGCCGAAGACAGUCCUUGUGAGAGAUGCCCAGUAUCCGGCGGGGCUGGCUUCGCAGAUGCCCGGUGCCCAGCCAGGCUGUCCGCUGAGAUGCCCGUGCGGCUGCUUGAUCGGCUCGGAGCAGCUUCCCCCAGGAAUGACUCCAGCCGUCUGGGAAGCAAGGAGGGACAGGGUUUGGAGCAAUAAAUGUCCCCAAGGCCCGACUAUAGGGGCGAUUGCCACUGUCCCUGCCGCCGAGUCAGUGGCAGGGACGUCUUUAGAGCAGGGUCUGGUGGUUGCUGGAUGAGGUGGACCAAGAGCACCGCUGCGGUGGGGACUCCUUCAGGCGUCGCGACUCCACCUCCCUUGGCUGCCUGCAUCACCGGGCGGUACCGCUAGCUCUCUUGUCCCCUCCCUCUCCCCCGCCCCCUCCGCGCAGACUCGCGCUUCCCAAGACCCAGCACAGGCGCGUUGGAACUGUUUUAAGCUUUAUCAUUGGAAGGAUGAAGAAUAGAGGGGCAGCGAAGGAACGGGAAUCCCCUAAAAUAUUGCGGAGGGAUUUACGAAUGUAAAUUUCUCCAGCUUCACUGGUGGACUCCGAGUUCCCAGGGAGAGCCCCUUCUCUUUCUAGGGUUCCCGCCUGCUGUCCCUCACCCACAGAGCGUUCCUACCCGCAUCUCUCCUCUCUGAAAGCAGAGAUUUGGGGUGGGUUCCUGCUGGGGUUUGGUGCCCUUUGCCUCUUCUGUGCACAGCAUAAAGCCAGCUGAGGUGGCCGAGAGCAGAGCAGUGGAAAAGUACUGUCUUUUAGUGAAGCUUUCUCCCAGGUUCCUCCAAGGUCGUGGACUAGGCCGCUUCCCCUGAGCUGAGAGACUGACUGGUCGGUCACACCACCACACCAGCAACCGCUGGUGGUCAGGACAGAAUAGGGGAGAAGAUUCUUGAUGGUGGGAAAGGGUUUCCAGAGCAGACCUGAGACUUGUGGGAACUGCAGCAGGGAAGCUCUCCCUCUGGUCACAGUGCAGCCUCUGGCUCUUUGAAGAUUAGACAGAUAAUGUCCUAUCUGCAGAGACCGACUUUGGAGUUCCCAAGUGCUUGGCAUUCGCGAUCUCCUCAAAUCCUUCAGACAAGGCAGUUCAGGCUCAUGUGGUUGGAAGGAGAUGGGUCACUCAGAACCUAGUGACCCCAGAGCUGGCCCUCGCCUUCUCUCUUCCCUCCAACCUUUGGCCAUUCUGCAUAGAGUCCAGGCACUUGUCUCCAUCCUCUGGGGAGGGGCUCUAGAGUCCUGAAAAAACAAACCAAAACCAAACCAACCAAACAAACAAAAACCAGCCCUAUGUCAGGACACACAGUUAGUUCUCUGAGUUUAAGCCUCAGGCUUCCAGACUUCCUGGACUGUUCUUAUGUGGGCCCCAGGUCCCACGGCUUUAAGGCUCUCUAUUGCCAACACGAGUUAAAAGUUGGGUCCUGAGCUGGGCGUGGUGGUACACACCUUUAAUCCCAGCACUUGGGAGGCAGAGGCAGGAGGAUUUCUGAGUUCGAGGCCAGCCUGGUCUACAAAGUGAGUUCCAGGACAGCCAGGGCUACACAGAGAGACCUUGUCUCGAAAAACCAAAAAAAAAAAAAAGGUGCUGGAGUGAUGGCUCAGUGGUGAAGAGCACCGACUGCUCUCCCAGAGGUCCUGAGUUCAAUUCCCAGCAACCACAUGGUGACUCACAACCAUCUGUAAUGGGAUCUGAUGCCUUCUUCUGGUGUGUCUGAAGAAAGCUACAGUGUAUUCGUAUAAAUAAAAUAAAUGAAUCUUU